AUCUCUCUUUACAAAAUGUUCUCUGCCAUCUCUCUAGAAUUAUACCCAUGUAAUGUAAUCUUUAUAAGAGACAAAAAAUCAAACCCUAAUCUGUUCUAAACCCUGAUCUGUUCUAAGCCCUAACUAAUUACCCAAACAAGAUCAAAUUGCAGCAAGUCAGUUGAGGUGGAGUGGUUGAUUGUGGUGGGUGAAGGGGUGGGUGGUUGAUUGUGGUAGGUUAGAAGCGGUUGAUUGUGGUGGGUUAGAAGCGGCGGUGUGUGAAGGGGUGGGUGCGGCAGGUGGAGUUGGGCGAUUGCAAGUGGUGGUGGCCGGAGACUGCUUCACCAGAAUUCUCUGCGUGUUAUGUUUGGAACUAACCAGAAAAUACAUGAUUCGCCGGAAUUCUCUGCGUGUUAGCCGGAGUUCGAAUUUCGCCGGAGUCCACCUUCCUCAUCGAUACUCGGAUACUCAGAAAUGUUUCUGUGAUGGUGGAUGGGGGUGGUGAGUUUAACGGUUGUGGUUGUUGAUUUGGGUUGUUUGCAAAGUUGGGGUUAGGGUUCCGGUGGGGGCGCCUGAAAUUUGGGACAAACAUAAAGGACAAAACUUGUAAUUUACUCUAA
rnacentral:lncRNA from 1 species